UAGAGCCCCCAAAACUCGCAGCCUUUAAGUAGAUAGAAAAAAAACAUGAAGCAAACAUGACCAUGAUUUAACUGAAAUAUUCUUACUAAAUCAUCCUGAUGCAAUCAAAUCACGACAAAUAGUGGAGUCUGCUAAUCGGGCUUAGUUUUGAGAUGGCUAGCUACAUAAAGCUAAAGGUGGAGAGCAGCAGGUGAGGAGAGAUUGUGAGGGGCUUGAGUUCAUGCUAAGAAGGUAAGGUUCCCAGGGUAGAUGUAAUUUGGCCAAGUUAUUAACUGCUCGUCAAAGAUGUGUUGGAUUUGGUGAGUCUAGAUUGGGUUUGAGAUAAGGUUAAAUGGUGGUAUAUCUAGGACUGCUCUGAAGUUUAUGGCGAAGGUUUGAGCUUAAGUGGAGAUAAAUAGGAGGGUCUGGGUGGAAGUGGGAAUGCUGAUGAUGGAGGUUCACCCACAUCACCUCCAUAAGAUAGUAUGCCUUUAAGAAAUAAAACACUAGGUUUAUGGUACACCCUAUAUUGACUGCUGCAUUGCUUCUGCCAGAGGCGAUAACACUUGCAGUAUUCACCUAAAGACAUCUUCAAUGCUGAAGGCGACAAAACUUGGAGUAUACACCUAAAGACAUCUUCAAUGCUGAAGGUAAUUAUUUGAAAAUAUGCAUACCUCAAAUAUCCCGUGCAAUUGGUGAGUGGUAUAAUUGUAGAGAAAGAGUGGCAAUCCUGGAGUAAUGGCACGGACUGAGUCACGGUAUCUAGGAGGUAAUCCUGCAA